UUGGGAAUUAUAUCCUAAAGCUAAUCAUUUGAUGAUUGUAUUAAUUAUAAAUAUACAUGAAUUGAUAAAUAAUAAAAGUUAUUUGAUAUUUUUUAUCACAAGAUUAUAUCUUCUAACGAACUCCUACGUUGUGAUGAAGUUCUUAGGACUACUUUGAUCGAUAAAGAAGGAUUUAUCGUGUAGUCUUUAAAUUGAUUCGUAACCAAACGAUACACUAUUAUUAGG
rnacentral:lncRNA from 1 species